rnacentral:rRNA from 1 species
AAUAGAUACCCCGGUAGUCCACGCCGUAAACGAUGUCGACUUGGAGGUUGUUCCCUUGAGGAGUGGCUUCCGGAGCUAACGCGUUAAGUCGACCGCCUGGGGGGUACGGCCGCAAGGUUAAAACUCAAAUGAAUUGACGGGGGCCCGCACAAGCGGUGGAGCAUGUGGUUUAAUUCGAUGCAACGCGAAGAACCUUACCUACUCUUGACAUCCAGAGAACUUAGCAGAGAUGCUUUGGUGCCUUCGGGAACUCUGAGACAGGUGCUGCAUGGCUGUCGUCAGCUCGUGUUGUGAAAUGUUGGGUUAAGUCCCGCAACGAGCGCAACCCUUAUCCUUUGUUGCCAGCGGUCCGGCCGGGAACUCAAAGGGAGACUGCCAGUGAUAAACUGGAGGAAGGUGGGGAUGACGUCAAGUCAUCAUGGCCCCUUACGAGUAGGGCUACACACGUGCUACAAUGGCGCAUACAAAGGAGAAGCGACCUCGCGAGAGCAAGCGGACCUCAUAAAGUGCGUCGUAGUCCGGUAUUGGAGUCUGC